AUGGCUCCGAGAGCCGACAAAGGGAAGGUUGUGAAGUCGACCGAGGCGCAGCGGCUUGUGGCGCUGCGAAAGGAGCGGGCAAUCUUCCCCCCCAAGCUCGCUGCGAGGGAGCUGAGGGAGAAUUACUACCUCUUCUGGUCGACGGAGACACGAGCGCAUCCGCGCACGAAGGUACUCAUAGCCGUCGCUUGGAAGACGGCUCCAAAUGGAUAUCCUUUCUUCGCCUUGUUCUUCUACUGCGGGCUCUGCCCGCCUUUCUCUGAGUUUUUCUGCGAUAUUAUGAACACCUACGGGUUCCACCUCCUUGAUUUCACCCCAAUGCCGUUCUGA
rnacentral:rRNA from 1 species